CUUGUUGUGAUGUAUGCACAUAACUCUCAAUUUUUCCUUUAGAUGAACAGUGUACCAAGUUCUACCAUCCAGAUAAAGGAACAGGUCUUCUCAAUAAGAUAUGUCAUGGUAACAUUUGCCGAUGUGCAGAAGAAUCCUGUUCCUUGCUCAACCAGCAGAAAAAGAU